CGGGGGCAGUGAUAGGAUGGACGUUGACACGAAUGAAGUGCCGUCAACCCAGGUUGAGACCAUCGUGCCAGGACAACAUACUGUAUUUGUCAAAAAUAUAGAUUUUUCAG
rnacentral:sRNA from 15 species